UUCUGCCAUUGGUGUAGGUGUGAGCCAGUUCCAGAUGUUCGCUUUUAUCAGAGGUGAAAAUUUAGUUUUCACUAUUUUUUUAUAUGGGCUUCUCUUCUCUGACAACCUGUGAAGAUGAGAUUUGUAUCGUGCUGCAGAGGUUGAAAGGAUACAUGGUAUUAUGCCACCAGAAGGGACAAGAGAAAGACAGAUAGAAUUAUUGUUACUUUGUAGCACUUGCAGAAAUUGACAUGUAAUGCGGCAGAAAGAACCUGAUUGGAAGGCCGAGGGUACAUUCCAGUUGGGCUUCUUUAAUAGCUUGCUCAUAGGAUUCCAUGUAAUGAGGGAAACAAGAACAACACCUGUGGCUCAAAAAUUUGAAAGGAAAGGUUCUGAAUUGGCUAGAAAGGGGCUUAACAACCAACAGUGAUUCCCUAGUGGCAUGUAAUAUCCACUGGAGUUAUGAACUCUGUAGUGAACUGUCCAUCCAUGAGCACCAUCUCUUCCUUAUGUUUGGAAAGGUGAUAAUCUCUCACAACAGUAAGUGGGGAUUUUGAAUUUGUUUCUAACAUGAUAAAAAUUUGUUUAACUGAAUCAGUUGUUUUUCUAUCUUUUAUGUUCUUUAACAAGAGUUAUUUGCAUCAUGGGGCUGUCCAAUAAUUCUCAAAGCUGUUGAAGGUCCAAUGUUUUCUAUGGCUGUCCAAAACACACCGGCUAGAACUAAAACCGUGCAAUCCGUGAAUUUCUUCGGCACUUGGGUCGGGCCGAGUCGAUCGUGGGCUUGGCCAAUUCAAGGGAGUGAUUUGGUUAGGGUUGGUGCGGUCGGUUGACCGAACCGACCUAAGUAACUAUGUUAAAAAAU